GACGAACGCUGGCGGCGUGCUUAACACAUGCAAGUCGAACGAUGAAGAAGAGCUUGCUCUUCGGAUUAGUGGCGAACGGGUGAGUAACACGUGACUAACCUGCCCCUUUCUCUGGGAUAACGCUCCGAAAGGAGUGCUAAUACCGGAUACUCACAUCGAGGCACAUGCCUUGACGUGGAAAGUUUUUCGGAAAGGGAUGGAGUCGCGGCCUACCAGCUUGUUGGUGAGGUAACGGCUCACGAAGGCGACUACGGGUAGCCGGCCGGGGAGGGCGACCGGCCAGACUGGGACUGAGCCACGGCCCAGACGCCUACGGGAGGCGGCAGUGGGAAAUAUUGCACAAUGGGCGAAAGCCUGAUGCAGCGGCGCCGCGUGAGGGAUGAAGGUCUUCGGAUUGUAAACCUCUUUCAGUAGGGACGAAGCGAAAGUGACGGUACCUAAAGAAGAAGCACCGGCUAACUACGUGCCAGCAGCCGCCGUAA
rnacentral:rRNA from 1 species